rnacentral:rRNA from 1 species
CAUAACGGAGGAAAGAAACCAACAGGGAUUGCCUCAGUAACGGCGAGUGAAGCGGCAACAGCUCAAAUUUGAAAUCUGGCCCCUUCGGGGUCCGAGUUGUAAUUUGCAGAGGGUGCUUUUGGUGUUGGCCGUGGUCUAAGUUCCUUGGAACAGGACGUCACAGAGGGUGAGAAUCCCGUACGUGGCCGCCGGCCCUCGCCUUGUAAAGCCCCUUCGACGAGUCGAGUUGUUUGGGAAUGCAGCUCUAAAUGGGAGGUAAAUUUCUUCUAAAGCUAAAUACCCGCCAGAGACCGAUAGCGCACAAGUAGAGUGAUCGAAAGAUGAAAAGCACUUUGGAAAGAGAGUGAAAAAGCACGUGAAAUUGUUGAAAGGGAAGCGCUUGCGGCCAGACGUGCCCGCGGUUGUUCAUCUGGGCUCUCGCCCGGUGCACUCCUCCGCGGGCAGGCCAGCAUCAGUUUGGGCGGUCGGACAAAGGUCUCUAUCACGUACCACCCCUCGGGGUGGCCUUAUAGGGGAGACGCAACACGGCCAGCCUGGACUGAGGUUCCGCGCAUCUGCUAGGAUGCUGGCGUAAUGGCAGCAAGCGGCCCGUCUUGAAACACGGACCAAGGAGUCUAACAUCUAUGCGAGUGUUUGGGUGUCAAGCCCGAGCGCGUAAUGAAAGUGAACGGAGGUGGGAACCCCUCGGGGCGCACCAUCGACCGAUCCUGAUGUCUUCGGAUGGAUUUGAGUAAGAGCAUAGCUGUUGGGACCCGAAAGAUGGUGAACUAUGCCUGAAUAGGGUGAAGCCAGAGGAAACUCUGGUGGAGGCUCGCAGCGGUUCUGACGUGCAAAUCGAUCGUCAAAUUUGGGCAU